rnacentral:lncRNA from 1 species
GUGGAACCGAGAGAGCCUCUCCAGGGAGCAGCGUACGCAGUCCAGAAGGCUGCAGUAUUUCCUCCAAGAAAAAAAAAAAAAAAGGCUGCUUCAACCCCUGCUGCAAGCAAAGUUCCGAUUCCCUCUGCUGGCUAUCUCGAAUAGCAAGCGAUUUUUGCAGCAACGCUGCUGCCGCUGGAACUGAACCUGAAGAACUCAAAUGCGGGCGGUGGAUUAUUUCUUAUCCCUCCUCCAUCUACCCCACACAAGAGCUGCUUUUUGUUCCUCUUUUUGCCAAGUUCCAAGGGUCCCUUUUCAAGGCGGGCGAGGCUAAAAUUAGAUGUGCCAGCUGUGUUUUGCUGCGAGUGCUCACGCAUGCCCAAAGCGUGGGCAGACCAAUACUGAGCUCUUUUCUACUUUGUCAAGUCGGCUCUGUUCUCCUGAGCCCAGAGUCUCCUAUUUAGAUAAAAGGUCCCUGGUACAAAUCCAGCUUCCUAGUCAAGAAGAACAGAGAAUUUGGGCUCAGUGCACACAUGGUGUCCAUCCACAUACAAGCCGCACCACCCCUAAAGCAACUGGCUUCCACCGAGGGGAACUGGUUUCUGGAAGCUGUGUGAGUGCAUACGUGUUCCUUGGAUAAAAAUAAGGAUGGCAGGAGUCUUGAGACUUCUCUUCUUUUGGUGUGGAUUCCGGAACUCCUUUCUGAAGCAAGAGGCAAAUAUCUCUCAGCAGAGAAUGCCAAGACCAAUCACUUAACCAUGGCAAUCUUACUCAGCAUGGUAAUUCCCACCCUGAUGGUCCCAAGAUGGCUGCAGCAGUUUCAGCCAUGUUAUCCUAAUCCACCAACAUCUGGAGGUAUCUGUCUUUUCAAUCUCCAUCUAUUACAAAUGUAGGAUACUUUUACCAGAAGGUCCUCCUCUAGACUACUACUCAUGUUUCAUUGGACAAAUUUGGUCCCAUGGAAUUUCUUAAGUCAUUUACUGAUGAGGAAAGUGGAAUUAUCAUGACUGGAUUAGACUACCUAAGAUUCACCACUCCUGAGCCUGGAGAAAGAUAAUUUUCUCAGAGCAAACAACUGCAUAUGGCUGAAGAUAGGAAUGAACUAUAAAACAAAAUUGGAGUCCUCCAGGAAAGAAAGGGGGAAUUAAAGGGAAAUGAUUGUGUAGGCAAAACACAAUAGUCUCCAAUGCCAAAUAAACUUUGUUUUGUUACUCUCUCAUCUACUUUAUCACAUUUUUUUCCUUGUUACCCUUCUCACCUUAAUUCAUCACCAAUAAGCCUCUUUAAAUCAAAUUUUUGAUGGUCAUCCAUAAAUCUCCAAGAAAUUGAGUGAUAAUUAACAUUACAGUGAUAAUGAGCUUAAGGUCUUGUUUCUUCUUGAAAGCUGGGAGGGUAGGAGGGGAGUGAAUGGUAAGAAAUUACUUAGUGGGGGCAAUACUCAUUAUUUGGGUGAUGGGUUACCCUAUAAGUCCAGACUUUACCAUUAUACAAUAUAUCCAUGUAACAAAACUGCAUUUGCACCAUUUAAAUGUAUACAAAUUUUUAAAAAGAAAGCUCUAAAAGAUAUAAACAUCUUCAAGAUCUAUAGGAAUAAAGCAGUCAUGGGGGUGUGGCAGGCAAGAAAGGAUUUAAGGCCCAGUUCGCUCCUAUGACCUCCUCACUUUAUCUCCUAUCACACUACUCUGCACACUCUGUUAUGGCCACGUCGGCCUCUCUGCAGUUCCUCUAAGAGGCCAGCAUUCUCUCACCCUGGGGACUUUGUACUUUACUUCCCUGUGCCCACACCAAGCUUUCUUCAUAUAACCAUGUUACUUAAUUCCUCCCUUACUAUGAGUUUCUGCUCACGUGCCACCUUAUUAAAGAGGUUUGUCCUGACCAUCUUAUGUAACAUAGCAACUUUAUUUCAUUCUUUGUCCUAUUACCCCAGUUUAUAUAUGCUUAUGGCUCUUAUAACCACCUGACAUGGUAUGCAUUUAUUUAUUGUUCUUAUAAGUAAUUAUCCAUGAGACAAGUGUUUAUAUUUUGUUCACAGUUUGUUUCUCUGAGCCUAGUAUAGUGCCUGACACAUAUAGGCAUGUCUUAAAUAUGUAUAGAAUGAACUGAUGGGUGGCUACUGGCCAUGGGAAACUUAGAUGAUCUUUCUGUUCCUUAACGUAGAUCACAACAUAAUUCAAGAGGUACCUCAUCCUGGGCAGGCAUCUUUCUCUAUGAUAAUCAGUAAUACCCAUAGUAAGCCCAAGUAAGUCGAUAUCUUUCUUCUUUCAUCUACUUUCCUCUAAGCAAGACCCUCAUUUUUUAGGGUGAGCUGUUUAUGUUGAAAGCUGAACAGCAUCUAUCAUUCUAAUAAGAAAUAAAAGGCAAAUCCCAACAGAGUAGUGACUGAGACACAUCCUACAACUUAUAAUACUCUAAUUAGAAAAUGUGUUUUAAUUCUGAUUCAAUUGUAUUUUAUAUGCCAGAAAUAGUCAUAAAAACGUAUGUCAAAAUCAUGAAGAAAUAAGGUAAUAUAAUUAGUCAAUAGUGAUUUAAAAAAUAAGUUUAGUAUGGCUUGGAAUUUCCAUUUGAUGUGGAACUUAAGCCACAUAUGCACAAAAUGUUUCGGAGACUUCCAGGCAAAAUGGCAAUAGGAAUACUAGACAUAAUUGCCAGCAGAAAAACAUGGAAACGUCUAUAUACAAGAUUGAAAGGAAGACAGCCAGACUACAGUGAUAGGCAGGUGAGGGAACAGCCUAUGUGCAUUACAUAUGAAAGACGUCCCUGCAGAACCUAGUAACAUCCACUGUCUGUGUGCCGGCAGUGGUGGUAGGUGAAUAUCUGAACCCCACUAGUAUUGCUGGGAAGACUGUGAGAUAGGGACCACGAAGACCAGCCUGUCCAGGCCUAUGCUAGGUGAGAAGAGCCCAGUCAGCAUGGGAAAGGGAUCAUCUUAGAAUGAGGUCACCCUUGCCUGGCAAAGAGAAGGACCCUGGUCCCCUGUCUCUGGGUUUCCUCACCAAACUCAGAGGAUAAAUUCUUUGGGAAAUUUCUCAAGUUAAGGGGAUCUGAAGUGGUAAGAUGAAGGCACAGCAAACCCAAACAGAUUUCUUUUCUGAAAAGAGUUCAGCAAACUGCCCCUCAAUCUCUGACAGAACCCAUUUUAAUUCUCAAUUCUGAGUAUUGAGUAACAAGUUUGAUUUAUGAAAUGCUAUGUAACUUUUGUUUUAAAUAUCACAUUCUCAACUAACAUUUGAGGAUGUAAGAGAUCCUUUUAUUAUAUGUGUUAUAUUAAGUGAAAAAUGUGUAAACAAGUAGGUGAUUUAGGAUUACAACCUGAAAAUAUUUUAUACAACUAAACACACAAAAAUUGAUACAAAAGUAUGGCACAGAUAUACAGUUGGCACUCAGUAUCCAGGGGGGAUUGGUCCCAGAACCCUUUGUGAUACCAAUAUCUGUGGAUGCUCAAGUCCCUUAAUAGUGUAAUAGUGUAGUAUUAGCAUAUAACCUAUGCACAUCUUCCCAUAUAUGUGAAAUCAUCUCUAGAUUACUUAUAAUGUCUCAUACAAUGUAAAUGCUAUGUAAAUAGUUGGAAUACUGUAUUGUUUAGAGAAUCAUUACAAGAAAAAAAAGUGUUUGUACCUUUAUAGCACAGACGCAGCCAUCCAUUUUUUUCUCCCAAAUAUUUUCAAUCCAUGAUUGGUUGAAUCCACAAAUGUGGAGUCCACUGAUGUGGAGGGCCAACUGCACUCCAUUAUGGCAACUGUAUCAAAAUCGCAAAGUUAUUUUUAUUCUUACUUUUCAUAUGUUAGGUGAGAAGAAACUUAAUUGGCCUUUUAUUCAGGAUAUAUCCAGAAUCCAAACACUAUCUACAAUUGCUGCCACUCUGGCCUGAACCACCAUCAUUUUUUUUUUCUCAAAUUGCUGCAUUAGCCUCCUAAUAGUUCUACUGGCUUCCCUUCUUGCCCACUGUGUGCCCCAUGGUGUAGUUUCUACACAGCAGACAGAGUGGCCUUUCAAAGACGUAAGUCAGAUUUCUCUGCUCAGAACUUCCCAGUGACUGCACAUCACUGUCAUUUCAUAAGCCUCUCUAUUAACUAGUCAGACAUUAUGUUCUGCUACUGUUCUUGUACUGACUCUUGUCCAACCACACUGACCUCCUUGUGGGUCCUUAGAUUUGACAAUCAUGUUCUUUCCUUUGCACGGGCUGUUCUUGCUGCCUGGAAUUCUUCCUUUAGUUAGCACUCUCUUCAAGCCUUUAAUGUAACCUUCUCAAGAAAUCCAGCUACCCCCUCAACACACCCCCUCCUCCUUCUAGUCUUGCCAAAUAUCUCCAAACUUCCUUCCCAGAGUCAUGUUGCACAGUUCCAGGGGAUGGGUGUCUCAUAAAAUAGAAUGUGAAUGAUACUUACUGAAAUUGUGUGGAAUGUGAAGACCUCACUUUAUUUUUCUCGAUAGUUCUUAUCACCUUUUAAUACAUUAUAUCAUUUACUUUUUAAAAAUUGUCUAUCUCCUCCUCUAGGAUCAUCAGCUCCAUGAGGGUGGGAAUGUCUGUUGUACUUACUGCUAUAACCUCAGUUCCUAGAACAAUGUCUGGCACAUAGUACACGCUAAAAAAUAAAUGAAUCACAGGGUAGUAUA